UUUCAGGACUGUUUCAUCACCUCUACAACAGGUAUUCUCAAAUGUUGGGGCUUUGGGAGCUGUGGUUUUCUGCACUUUCAAACCACUCACAAUAUCAUUCAGAGUUUUAACACUGUUUUUGUUCAAGGUUGACUAAAGUACAGUCAGUUUUAUUGUUUUUUCUCUGGAUGUGCUACUUCCUGUUGCGUAGACUUAUCCAAUCAUAUUUCAGGCUCAUGUGUUGCCAGGUGGAAAGAAUCUGCCAUGAGGUGUUUAGAAUCAGUAGCGCAUGUGCUGGAAGCCUAAAAUGAUUGGCAAUGAGAUUGUUUGUUUUUGACCAAUCAGAUUUUGGGUUGGCAUCAGAGUUACGUUGGCAAUUUGAUAUGAUUGGAUGGUCAGAGAGCAAAUUCUCUUUUAACAAACUGCCCCUGGCAACUUGUACGCGCGAAAGUGAAGGUUUCUGCGUGUCCGCCGUACAGCGGACAUUAUCAACCUGAAGCGAAUUAAAACUUAUGCCUUAUUGCGACAGGACAGACUUGACUUUUGAGCAUUAGGAAGGUUCAAAGGACAUGUUAGAACUGGAACGCACAAAUAAUCUGUACAACAGAGUCAUUGAACUCUUCUUAGGAAAGAGAGGAGGGCGGGUUUUGUGUGCAACAACUUAUCAGAAGUUUUGAACAUCUCCAUGAGCACCUCCUCUAUGUUGACGGUGCCAAUGACGGGUCUGAAGAAGAGCUGGGCCACCACCAGAGGGCUGAUGGACCUCAGCAUGGACAGGGCUAUGAGAAGCUUAGCGAAGCGUGUUGUGUCCUCGCGGUGAAUCAGCCGGAUGUGUUCUUUCAGAGCCUGGUGAGCCUCACGACGCAGUGACUGGAUGUAGUGCAGACAGCGGAGACCCUCCAGAUCUGACUCAACCGCAGGAGGAGGGGAACAAGGAGGAAAAUGCAGGAGAUAAAUUAGAGAGGCAAUAGUCCAUGGUCAAUGAUGACAGCUGUCCCUGUCCAUCCAUGUCGCACAAGACAUUUCAAAAGGGAGAUCAAUCUGGACUGCAGGCAGGCCAGCAGCAUACGUUUCCUGGAGGCUGAUCAUACACAAAUGAAACUCUGAAGUUGCCAUGACCCAAGAAGACAGCUCUUUGGCAAAUUCAGCUGGAGACCUUGAGAGACAAGUGUAGAGAAAAACAAAAGGAUUUCUUUCCCUUUUUUCUUUACCCAACACUUGGGGCCACAGACACUCCAAGGCAGGUCUCAGAAACUUAAGAGGACAACUUUGUAUGAUUCAAGGCUUUGCAUUAAAUGGCUUCUCUGGAAAAAGUCUUGUAGCGCAUUGUUUGUUGAUUUGUUGGGCGCUCUCCUGGCGGUUACCAUGGUGACUGCCUCCAUUUUCUCUCUGUGGCUGCUCACAUAAAAGGACGACGUCCUUGCCUCCUUAAUAGUUACAAAUUGAAUACUGCACUUUCCAAGGACUUGUGUUGCAACUUACAGCAGAGUGAAAGUGUGUGUGUGAGAGAGACACCGCGUCGCAAGUGUCUUUCACUUAUUAUGAAGAUUAAUUUUCAAAGCUUUCAUAUUCAGGACAUUUUGACUCAAUGGUGUCAAUUUUAGAAACAUCUGGGUUUUAGGGAUGAGGUGAGAAUUGAGUUGGUGUCGGGCCAAGGGGUUUCUUACAUUUGCUAAAAGACAGGAGUGUGUGUGAGGUAUGAAUUUACUCUUUGGUUACCCACCUUUGUCCUUCCAGAUGUUGAUUGUGUUUCAGUAAUUAUAAACUCUGUGUGCUUCAGGUCGGUAUCUAAAGAAAGUUUACACUAGAUGUCCUUGCAGCAGAUGAAACAAAGAAAAAGGUGAAGGACUUUUUUUCCAUGCCUAAUUUAUUAUAACAUUAUAGUCCCUUUUACUUUAGCCACAUGAGAGAAGAAAGACCAAACACACAAGAACAAGGGUCUCAAACUCCAGACCCAGGGCCCACCUCCAGCCCAUGAGCCCCCAUCAUCAGGCCCAUUACUAGAUGUGUAUAAAAAUUUUCUUUUAUAUUAUUAUUUAAUUUUCUUUUUUCACCUAUAUGGUGCUUGAUCGUUUAAUUAUUAAAAAUAUACCUUUUGUACUACUUGUUUGCACUUUAGUAUUAUCCAGGUGGAUUUUUUUAAACCCAAACUACCUUUUCUUAUCAUUUUUGUUUCGUAUUUAUUUAUUUUUUAUUAAACAUCAAGGGUUAGGGUUAGUCAGGGUUUGUUAUGGUUAGGGUUAGCUGCCUCAGAAAGAAGUGGAGUUGGACAUUACCUUUGUGAAGUUUUAGUUAAUACAGAGUUGUAUGGUGCUUUGGCACAGUUUGGCAAAAUCUGUACUGUAAAAGCUGAGAUUUUUCCUUUUUUUUAAUGAAUGACAGAAAACUAUAAUCCUUCAUUUGCAUGUCCAAACAGCUACUUAAUGAAUUAAUCGAAUUAUUUGAUUAACCACACAUUAUAUUAACACAAUAACUAUGGCUUCCAUACUGUAGAACUUAAAAUCUCAUUUGAAACCCAUGAACCGAGAGAAUCGCAUUGAUGUCAACAAUUCAUGUCAAGUGCUCCAGUCACCAUUUCUAAAGAGGUAAAAUCAUCUGACCCAGAAUGACUGAAAAUUAGUUUGUUCCAGUGAAGAUGCACCGAUCCCAAAACUUAAUUAAAAUACUAUUAUUUGUACUAAUCCAAAAGUAGUUACAUCGAGGGCAACUGAACUCCAGUUUCCCUGGAGUUAUGCAAUUUUUAUUAAAAGUACAUUUUGAGACAAUUUAAAUCUGGAUAUUUCAAGGAUUUUUGCCAGGACAAGCUACUAAUUUAUAAACUUUUAUGUGAUUAAAAAUGUUCUAUGUUAAAAUAAUAAUUAAUGAUGUCCAAGCUGAGAAAAGCUGUGUGAAUAGAAGCAUGUGUGUCAAAAAGAAAGAA